GCCCACGACGGGGCCGGCCCGCUCGCCGGCCCCUCGGCCGAGGGGAGGGGGCUCCUGGGUCCCCAGCCCCCGCAGCUGCUGCCCUCGGCGGCCAGCCCCACCUCUUCCAUCUCGCAGUUCCUGGCUCGGCGCCACCCUUGGGACUUUGGAUCGUCAGGGACCCCCUCCUCUAGACUGGCCUCCCCCGGAGCCGCCGGACCCUCCCGCUGGUUCCCGGACCGAAUCCUGCCUCCCGCCGGCCCCCCGGCCCCGGGGCCUGGCCGGGGGCCUCGGGGCCCCCUCCCCCCGCCCCGCUUCCGGUCCUGACGGUGACCCGCACCCACAACCGGCGCCGCCCCCUCCCUCCUCUCUCCUCCACCUCCACCGCCGUCGUGGAGCCUGAAACGGUGACACUUUAUACUACCUCAGGCUGGGACCGACUCUCCCCGGCCGUCAGUUCCACCUCCGGCAGGGAGGGGCUUAGGGAAGCUCCACACCUAAGAACUCAAUAAAACAGUUGAACUCGGA